GACGAACGCUGGCGGCGUGCCUAAUACAUGCAAGUAGAACGCUGAAGGAGGAGCUUGCUUCUCUGGAUGAGUUGCGAACGGGUGAGUAACGCGUAGGUAACCUGCCUGGUAGCGGGGGAUAACUAUUGGAAACGAUAGCUAAUACCGCAUAAUAGUAGAUGUUGCAUGACAUUUGCUUAAAAGGUGCAAUUGCAUCACUACCAGAUGGACCUGCGUUGUAUUAGCUAGUUGGUGGGGUAACGGCUCACCAAGGCGACGAUACAUAGCCGACCUGAGAGGGUGAUCGGCCACACUGGGACUGAGACACGGCCCAGACUCCUACGGGAGGCAGCAGUAGGGAAUCUUCGGCAAUGGACGGAAGUCUGACCGAGCAACGCCGCGUGAGUGAAGAAGGUUUUCGGAUCGUAAAGCUCUGUUGUAAGAGAAGGACGAGUGUGAGAGUGGAAAGUUCACACUGUGACGGUAUCUUACCAGAAAGGGACGGCUAACUACGUG
rnacentral:rRNA from 1 species